AUUGAACGCUGGCGGCACGCCUUACACAUGCAAGUCGAACGGCAGCACGGGAGCAAUCCUGGUGGCGAGUGGCGAACGGGUGAGUAAAGUAUCGGAACGUGCCCAGUCGUGGGGGAUAACGUAGCGAAAGUUACGCUAAUACCGCAUACGAUCUAUGGAUGAAAGCGGGGGAUCGCAAGACCUCGCGCGAUUGGAGCGGCCGAUAUCAGAUUAGGUAGUUGGUGGGAUAAAAGCUUACCAAGCCGACGAUCUGUAGCUGGUCUGAGAGGACGACCAGCCACACUGGGACUGAGACACGGCCCAGACUCCUACGGGAGGCAGCAGUGGGGAAUUUUGGACAAUGGGCGAAAGCCUGAUCCAGCAAUGCCGCGUGCAGGAUGAAGGCCUUCGGGUUGUAAACUGCUUUUGUACGGAACGAAAAGCUUCGGGUUAAUACCCUGGAGUCAUGACGGUACCGUAAGAAUAAGCACCGGCUAACUACGUGCCAGCCGCCGCGGUAA
rnacentral:rRNA from 1 species